GUUGCCUAGUGUGUUUUUGUGAUG
rnacentral:siRNA from 1 species